rnacentral:snoRNA from 1 species
UCACAUUUUAUCAACCAAAUGAAUUAGGGGAAAAAGUUCAUGCCCAGGGGUGAGGCUAUAGUGCCAGAACACUUGCUUGUGCAUAAUUAAGGCCACCUGCUCUCUUCAGGCAUCCUUUUAACUGGGAGCAAAGUGA